AUUGAACGCUGGCGGCAGGCCUAACACAUGCAAGUCGAACGAGUGGCGGACGGGUGAGUAAUGUCUGGGAAACUGCCUGAUGGAGGGGGAUAACUACUGGAAACGGUAGCUAAUACCGCAUACCAUCGGAUGUGCCCAGAUGGGAUUAGCUAGUAGGUGGGGUAACGGCUCACCUAGGCGACGAUCCCUAGCUGGUCUGAGAGGAUGACCAGAAAAACUGGAACUGAGACACGGUCCAGACGACGACGGGAGGCAGCAGUGGGGAAGAUUGGACAAUGGGCGCAAGCCUGAUGCAGCCAUGCAGCGUGUAUGAAGAAGGCAGUCGGGUUGUAAAGUACUUUCAGCGGGGAGGCGUUACCCGCAGAAGAAGCACCGGCUAACUACGUGCCAGCAGCCGCGGUAAUAC
rnacentral:rRNA from 1 species